AUUUUAGAAAAUUAUUAGAAAAUCUAAAAAUUUAAUUUAAAUGGAUUUGACAAGAGCUAGAUGUCAUUCGGAACAUUAAAAAGUGAUAUGCUUCUGUUGCCUAAAUAAGGACAUAAAAUGUACUCUACUUGAAGAAAAGACAGAAUUGAUUAAGUUGGCGACACAGUUUGUGAAUCAUGGUUUUAAUAUAGAAAUGAAUUCUUGUCCAUCUGGCAUUUGUGGCACUUGUGAGUUAAAAGUUUGUAUUUAAAGAAGGCAAGUAUAGUUAUGGUUUUUUUACAUAACAUGUAAUAUGCAUUGUAAUAUGUAAUUGCAUAAUGUUGUAAUAUGCAUUUUAAAGCUUGAUAUAAAAUUAACUAAAAGUUUGUAAUUUUAAAAAUUUUAUAGAACGAUUUAAGUUUUAGUAAAUCAGUGGAAGAGUCCUGGAAAAAAGGUUCAUUUGUUUUAAAAAAACUGGGAAGAAUAGUUGUUGCAGAUUAUUGUGUGAAUGUCCGAUUUGCAGGAUUGGACAAGAUAGAAGAAGCCAUAAAAAAUUAAACCUAUCAGAAUUUGUAAAUGAAACGUCAACUAAACAAAGUAACUCUGCAGACCUUGAUGAAUCAUUUUGCUCGCAUUGCCAUCAGAAGGUGGGUAAAGGUAUCAGACAUUCAUGUGGACAGAGGGAUAAAAUUCAAAAUCUACAGUAUCUCAUACAAUCGAAAGAUUCAAAGAUUUCCCAGAGAGUUGUAUCUUCUAUAUUGAAGGAAUUGGCUACAAAAGAGGGAAGCAAAACUUUAAAUCUUGCAACAACUAAGUUUCAUUUAAAAGUUGAUUAAGUAAAUUUUUAAAUUAAAUUAUUAUAAUAAAAUUUAUUUUCUAAAUAGGUGGUAUUUCAAUGAAAGUAAAUUUGUAUCCAAAACAGGCACCACUGAGGGAAAUUUCUACCAACACGUUAUUCAACAUAAAAAAGAAAACAGAUCUUCCAAUGACAGCUAUAGAAUGUAUGAUGACUGAGAUUAGAAAAGACUUAGGGUGCAAAGGUAUUGAGUCAAAUGCAUCAAAGAUCAUUAAAGACAAGUUCUUUAUUCUUGAAAAGUAUUAUCACAAUCAGACAAUUGAAUUUCAGCGCAGUUAUAAGGUUGCUAAAAAGAAGGCUUUUGAAGUAAUUUCUAAAGAUGUCGUGUAUGUUCAUGAACCAUGGAAACUAGUAGAAGAAAUAUGCAAUCAAAGAGAUCUGAAUCCAUUCCAUUGCAUUAUUCGGGUGAGAAUUGAUGGUGGUUAAGGGUCUUUAAAAAUUGUAAUGAACAUUUUUAAUCCAGAGUCUUCAGCAGACUAUAAAAACUUUAAGCUCACUGGCGUCAGUAAAGUGAAAAUUUUGGCCAUUGCACGUGGAGUUCAAAAGAGCAAUUACAACUUAGGAAGAUUAAUUGAGAUGACAAAAUUAAAUAAAAAAUAAUACUCAAAUUUUAUGUGGCAGCAAAUCUCAAGUUAAUCAACAGUAUGUUGGGUCUUUUAGGGCAUGGUGGAAAGUUUGCCUGUUGCUAUUGCGAAGGAAUGAAAGAAGAGUCCACUGGCCUGUUAAAAACAUUUCAAAGUCCUAAUGAUUGGUACCUAAAGUAUGUAGAAGACGGCGAGCAAUACAAGAACAUGCAGAUUUACAAACAUGUUGUUAGUCGAUGUUUGCUACAAGAAAAUCCAGAGACUCUGGUAAUUGACAUAGUACCACCUCCUGAACUGUUUUUAUAUUAGCAUAUAGUGACUCAAGUUACAGAUGUGCUAAUGGCUGAUGAGUUCACUAAAAACUACUUAUUAAGUAAAACAGUUAUCAGAUAUGGAUAUAAUGGAGGAGGGUAUGAUGGACCAAAUGUCACAAAGUCCUGUCAUGUUUGGAUGAACUUAGAGAUAUAUGUCCUCCUCACAUUAUACCUUGCAUUGAAACAUUAAGGAAGUUUAGAACAGUUAGCAAUUAGUUUAUGGUAAAAUGUUUACAAAAAAAAAACAAUCUAUAUAUAACUUUAAAAUCUUUUCUUUUAGUCAAUAAGAUCUGUUUUGGAAUGGAGCUAUCACAAGAUUUUGGCAAAGACAUCAAAGAUUUUGUAACCAAAAUGUGCAACUUAGAAAACUAUCUUAAGAAUCAUACAAAUUACUCUCUUAGCCUGGGAUAGAAAUUCCA
rnacentral:lncRNA from 1 species